GACGAACGCUGGCGGCGCGCCUAACACAUGCAAGUCGAACGGAGCUGAGAGGAGCUUGCUUUUCUCAGCUUAGUGGCGAACGGGUGAGUAACGCGUGAGUAACCUGCCCUGGAGUGGGGGACAACAGUUGGAAACGACUGCUAAUACCGCAUAAGCCCACGGUGCUGCAUGGCACAGCGGGAAAAGGAUUUAUUCGCUCUAGGAUGGACUCGCGUCCAAUUAGCUAGUUGGUGAGGUAACGGCCCACCAAGGCGACGAUUGGUAGCCGGACUGAGAGGUUGAACGGCCACAUUGGGACUGAGACACGGCCCAGACUCCUACGGGAGGCAGCAGUGGGGGAUAUUGCACAAUGGGGGAAACCCUGAUGCAGCGACGCCGCGUGGAGGAAGAAGGUUUUCGGAUUGUAAACUCCUGUCGUUAG
rnacentral:rRNA from 1 species